UUAAGCGACUAAGCGUACACGGUGGAUGCCCUGGCAGUCAGAGGCGAUGAAGGGCGUGCUAAUCUGCGAUAAGCGCCGGUAAGGUGAUAUGAACCGUUAUAACCGGCGAUACCCGAAUGGGGAAACCCAGUGUGACUCGUCACACUAUCAUUAACUGAAUCCAUAGGUUAAUGAGGCGAACCGGGGGAACUGAAACAUCUAAGUACCCCGAGGAAAAGAAAUCAACCGAGAUUCCCCCAGUAGCGGCGAGCGAACGGGGAGGAGCCCAGAGCCUGAAUCAGCAUGUGUGUUAGUGGAAGCGUCUGGAAAGGCGCGCGAUACAGGGUGACAGCCCCGUACACAAAAGCGCAUGUGCUGUGAGCUCGAUGAGUAGGGCGGGACACGUGGUAUCCUGUCUGAAUAUGGGGGGACCAUCCUCCAAGGCUAAAUACUCCUGACUGACCGAUAGUGAACCAGUACCGUGAGGGAAAGGCGAAAAGAACCCCGGCGAGGGGAGUGAAAAAGAACCUGAAACCGUGUACGUACAAGCAGUGGGAGCACCCUUCGGGGUGUGACUGCGUACCUUUUGUAUAAUGGGUCAGCGACUUAUAUUCUGUAGCAAGGUUAACCGUAUAGGGGAGCCGGAGGGAAACCGAGUCUUAACCGGGCGUUAAGUUGCAGGGUAUAGACCCGAAACCCGGUGAUCUAGCCAUGGGCAGGUUGAAGGUUGGGUAACACUAACUGGAGGACCGAACCGACUAAUGUUGAAAAAUUAGCGGAUGACCUGUGGCUGGGGGUGAAAGGCCAAUCAAACCGGGAGAUAGCUGGUUCUCCCCGAAAGCUAUUUAGGUAGCGCCUCGUGAAUUCAUCUCCGGGGGUAGAGCACUGUUUCGGCUAGGGGGCCAUCCCGGCUUACCAACCCGAUGCAAACUGCGAAUACCGGAGAAUGUUAUCACGGGAGACACACGGCGGGUGCUAACGUCCGUCGUGAAGAGGGAAACAACCCAGACCGCCAGCUAAGGUCCCAAAGUCAUGGUUAAGUGGGAAACGAUGUGGGAAGGCCCAGACAGCCAGGAUGUUGGCUUAGAAGCAGCCAUCAUUUAAAGAAAGCGUAAUAGCUCACUGGUCGAGUCGGCCUGCGCGGAAGAUGUAACGGGGCUAAACCAUGCACCGAAGCUGCGGCAGCGAACGUAUCACUUAAAGCGAUUCAGCGGGUUACGAUUGACGGAGCGAAGCGACGUCAAAGCGUAUACAAAGUCGAGUCGGUUUAAGGAUACGUUCGUUGGGUAGGGGAGCGUUCUGUAAGCCCGUGAAGGUGGCCUGUGAGGGUUGCUGGAGGUAUCAGAAGUGCGAAUGCUGACAUAAGUAACGAUAAAGCGGGUGAAAAGCCCGCUCGCCGGAAGACCAAGGGUUCCUGUCCAACGUUAAUCGGGGCAGGGUGAGUCGACCCCUAAGGCGAGGCCGAAAGGCGUAGUCGAUGGGAAACGGGUUAAUAUUCCCGUACUUGGUGUUACUGCGAAGGGGGGACGGAGAAGGCUAUGUUGGCCGGGCGACGGUUGUCCCGGUUUAAGCGUGUAGGUGUGUGUUCCAGGUAAAUCCGGUUCACUUUAACACUGAGGCGUGACGACGAGGCACUACGGUGCUGAAGCAACAAAUGCCCUGCUUCCAGGAAAAGCCUCUAAGCAUCAGGUAACACGAAAUCGUACCCCAAACCGACACAGGUGGUCAGGUAGAGAAUACCAAGGCGCUUGAGAGAACUCGGGUGAAGGAACUAGGCAAAAUGGUGCCGUAACUUCGGGAGAAGGCACGCUGACACGUAGGUGAAGUGAUUUACUCAUGGAGCUGAAGUCAGUCGAAGAUACCAGCUGGCUGCAACUGUUUAUUAAAAACACAGCACUGUGCAAACACGAAAGUGGACGUAUACGGUGUGACGCCUGCCCGGUGCCGGAAGGUUAAUUGAUGGGGUCAGCGCAAGCGAAGCUCCUGAUCGAAGCCCCGGUAAACGGCGGCCGUAACUAUAACGGUCCUAAGGUAGCGAAAUUCCUUGUCGGGUAAGUUCCGACCUGCACGAAUGGCGUAAUGAUGGCCAGGCUGUCUCCACCCGAGACUCAGUGAAAUUGAACUCGCUGUGAAGAUGCAGUGUACCCGCGGCAAGACGGAAAGACCCCGUGAACCUUUACUAUAGCUUGACACUGAACAUUGAGCCUUGAUGUGUAGGAUAGGUGGGAGGCUUUGAAGUGUGGACGCCAGUCUGCAUGGAGCCGACCUUGAAAUACCACCCUUUAAUGUUUGAUGUUCUAACGUGGACCCGUAAUCCGGGUUGCGGACAGUGUCUGGUGGGUAGUUUGACUGGGGCGGUCUCCUCCUAAAGAGUAACGGAGGAGCACGAAGGUUGGCUAAUCCUGGUCGGACAUCAGGAGGUUAGUGCAAUGGCAUAAGCCAGCUUGACUGCGAGCGUGACGGCGCGAGCAGGUGCGAAAGCAGGUCAUAGUGAUCCGGUGGUUCUGAAUGGAAGGGCCAUCGCUCAACGGAUAAAAGGUACUCCGGGGAUAACAGGCUGAUACCGCCCAAGAGUUCAUAUCGACGGCGGUGUUUGGCACCUCGAUGUCGGCUCAUCACAUCCUGGGGCUGAAGUAGGUCCCAAGGGUAUGGCUGUUCGCCAUUUAAAGUGGUACGCGAGCUGGGUUUAGAACGUCGUGAGACAGUUCGGUCCCUAUCUGCCGUGGGCGCUGGAGAACUGAGGGGGGCUGCUCCUAGUACGAGAGGACCGGAGUGGACGCAUCACUGGUGUUCGGGUUGUCAUGCCAAUGGCACUGCCCGGUAGCUAAAUGCGGAAGAGAUAAGUGCUGAAAGCAUCUAAGCACGAAACUUGCCCCGAGAUGAGUUCUCCCUGAGACUUAGAGUCUCCUGAAGGAACGUUGAAGACGACGACGUUGAUAGGCCGGGUGUGUAAGCGCAGCGAUGCGUUGAGCUAACCGGUACUAAUGAACCGUGAGGCUUAACCUU
rnacentral:rRNA from 1 species